rnacentral:rRNA from 1 species
AUUGAACGCUGGCGGCAGGCCUAACACAUGCAAGUCGAGCGCGAAAACACUUCGGUGUGAGUAGAGCGGCGGACGGGUGAGUAACGCGUAAGAAUCUACCUAGUAGUGGGGGACAACUCGGGGAAACUCGAGCUAAUACCGCAUACGCCCUACGGGGGAAAGCGGGGGACCUUCGGGCCUCGUGCUAUUAGAUGAGCUUGCGUUGGAUUAGCUUGUUGGUGGGGUAAUGGCCCACCAAGGCGACGAUCCAUAGCUGGUCUGAGAGGAUGAUCAGCCACACCGGGACUGAGACACGGCCCGGACUCCUACGGGAGGCAGCAGUGGGGAAUUUUGGACAAUGGGGGCAACCCUGAUCCAGCCAUUCCGCGUGAGUGAAGAAGGCCUUCGGGUUGUAAAGCUCUUUCGCAAGAGAAGAAAACUUGCUAUCUAAUAAAUAGUAAGUAUGACGGUAUCUUGACAAGAAGCACCGGCUAACUACGUGCCAGCAGCCGCGGUAAUACGUAGGGUGCAAGCGUUAAUCGGAAUUACUGGGCGUAAAGCGUGCGCAGGCAGUUUUAUAAGUCAGAUGUGAAAUCCCCGAGCUCAACUUGGGAACUGCGUUUGAUACUGUAAGACUAGAGUGUGUCAGAGGGGGGUAGAAUUCCAAGUGUAGCAGUGAAAUGCGUAGAGAUUUGGAGGAAUACCAAUGGCGAAGGCAGCCCCCUGGGAUAACACUGACGCUCAUGCACGAAAGCGUGGGGAGCAAACAGGAUUAGAUACCCUGGUAGUCCACGCCCUAAACGAUA